rnacentral:lncRNA from 1 species
CAUUUGCAGAGACUGAAGACAGGAGGCACAGUCUCCUCCAUACACAGAGACCACAGACGGAGAGAGCUGCAUGUGCAAAGGUCUCAAGGUGGGAGGAAGCUUGGCUCAUUCCCAGAACAGCAAGGCCAGUGCGGCUGUAGGUGCUGGGGAAGCAAGGAGGACAGGGAUGGGUUCCUGGAGGGGCCAGCCCAGGUGGUGGAGGUUGCAGUGAGCCAAUAUCGUGGGACUGUACUCCAGCCUGGUGACAGA